rnacentral:rRNA from 1 species
GGGGUGCUCGAGUGACGAACGGGUGAGUAACACGUGAGUAACCUGCCCUUGACUUUGGGAUAACUUCAGGAAACUGGGGCUAAUACCGGAUAGGAGCUCCUGCUGCAUGGUGGGGGUUGGAAAGUUUCGGCGGUUGGGGAUGGACUGCGGCUUAUCAGCUUGUUGGUGGGGUAGUGGCUUACCAAGGCUUUGACGGGUAGCCGGCCUGAGAGGGUGACCGGCCACAUUGGGACUGAGAUACGGCCCAG